rnacentral:rRNA from 1 species
AUUGAACGCUGGCGCAGGGCCAAACACUGCAAGUCGGGCGAGCGGCGGGCCGGGGGGGAAUGUAUGGGGAUCUGCCCGAUAGGGGGGGGUAACUUCCGGAAACGGUGGGUAAUAACGCAUACUAACGGAAGAAACCAUAUGGGAAUUGCUAGUAGGUGGGGGAAAGGCUCACCUAGGCGACGAUCUCUAGCCGGUCUGAGAGGAUGAUCAGCCACACUGGGACUGAGACACGGCCCAGACUCCUACGGGAGGCAGCAGUGGGGAAUAUUGCACAAUGGGCGCAAGCCUGAUGCAGCCAUGCCGCGUGUAUGAAGAAGGCCUUAGGGUUGUAAAGUACUUUCAGCGGGGAGGCGUUACCCGCAGAAGAAGCACCGGCUAACUCCGUGCCAGCAGCCGCGGUAAUAC